rnacentral:rRNA from 1 species
CAUCCGCCAGGGUACUACAAGCAUAGCUUAAAACCCAAAGGACUUGGCGGUGCCUCAGAUCCACCUAGAGGAGCCUGUUCUAGAACCGAUAAUCCCCGUUAAACCUCACCACCCCUUGGUUGCCCCGCCUAUAUACCGCCGUCGUCAGCUUACCCUGUGAAGGCCUAACAGUAAGCAAAAUGAGUAUACCCCAAAACGUCAGGUCGAGGUGUACCGUACAAGGUGGGAAGAAAUGGGCUACAUUUUCUACCACAGAAUACCACGAAUGGCGCACUGAAACAUAGCGCCUGAAGGCGGAUUUAGCAGUAAAAAACAAACAGAG